rnacentral:rRNA from 1 species
UGUUUCGGCUAGGGGGUCAUCCCGACUUACCAACCCGAUGCAAACUGCGAAUACCGAAGAAUGUUAUCACGGGAGACACACGGCGGGUGCUAACGUCCGUCGUGAAGAGGGAAACAACCCAGACCGCCAGCUAAGGUCCCAAAGUCAUGGUUAAGUGGGAAACGAUGUGGGAAGGCACAGACAGCCAGGAUGUUGGCUUAGAAGCAGCCAUCAUUUAAAGAAAGCGUAAUAGCUCACUGGUCGAGUCGGCCUGCGCGGAAGAUGUAACGGGGCUAAACCAUGCACCGAAGCUGCGGCAGCGACACUAUGUGUUGUUGGGUAGGGGAGCGUUCUGUAAGCCGUUGAAGGUGUACUGUGAGGUAUGCUGGAGGUAUCAGAAGUGCGAAUGCUGACAUAAGUAACGAUAAUGCGGGUGAAAAACCCGCACGCCGGAAGACCAAGGGUUCCUGUCCAACGUUAAUCGGGGCAGGGUGAGUCGACCCCUAAGGCGAGGCCGAAAGGCGUAGUCGAUGGGAAACAGGUUAAUAUUCCUGUACUUGGUGUUACUGCGAAGGGGGGACGGAGAAGGCUAUGUUAGCCGGGCGACGGUUGUCCCGGUUUAAGCAUGUAGGCGGAGGUUCCAGGUAAAUCCGGUACCUUUUAACGCUGAGGUGUGAUGACGAGGCACUACGGUGCUGAAGUAACAAAUGCCCUGCUUCCAGGAAAAGCCUCUAAGCAUCAGGUAACACGAAAUCGUACCCCAAACCGACACAGGUGGUCAGGUAGAGAAUACCAAGGCGCUUGAGAGAACUCGGGUGAAGGAACUAGGCAAAAUGGUGCCGUAACUUCGGGAGAAGGCACGCUGAUAUGUAGGUGAAGUGAUUUACUCAUGGAGCUGAAAUCAGUCGAAGAUACCAGCUGGCUGCAACUGUUUAUUAAAAACACAGCACUGUGCAAACACGAAAGUGGACGUAUACGGUGUGACGCCUGCCCGGUGCCGGAAGGUUAAUUGAUGGGGUUAUCCGUAAGGAGAAGCUCUUGAUCGAAGCCCCGGUAAACGGCGGCCGUAACUAUAACGGUCCUAAGGUAGCGAAAUUCCUUGUCGGGUAAGUUCCGACCUGCACGAAUGGCGUAAUGAUGGCCAGGCUGUCUCCACCCGAGACUCAGUGAAAUUGAACUCGCUGUGAAGAUGCAGUGUACCCGCGGCAAGACGGAAAGACCCCGUGAACCUUUACUAUAGCUUGACACUGAACACUGGUCCUUGAUGUGUAGGAUAGGUGGGAGGCUUUGAAGUGUGGACGCCAGUCUGCAUGGAGCCAUCCUUGAAAUACCACCCUUUAAUGGCUGGUGUUCUAACGUGGACCCGUAAUCCGGGUUGCGGACAGUGUCUGGUGGGUAGUUUGACUGGGGCGGUCUCCUCCUAAAGAGUAACGGAGGAGCACGAAGGUUAGCUAAUCCUGGUCGGACAUCAGGAGGUUAGUGCAAAGGCAUAAGCUAGCUUGACUGCGAGAGUGACGGCUCGAGCAGGUGCGAAAGCAGGUCUUAGUGAUCCGGUGGUUCUGAAUGGAAGGGCCAUCGCUCAACGGAUAAAAGGUACUCCGGGGAUAACAGGCUGAUACCGCCCAAGAGUUCAUAUCGACGGCGGUGUUUGGCACCUCGAUGUCGGCUCAUCACAUCCUGGGGCUGAAGUAGGUCCCAAGGGUAUGGCUGUUCGCCAUUUAAAGUGGUACGCGAGCUGGGUUUAGAACGUCGUGAGACAGUUCGGUCCCUAUCUGCCGUGGGCGCUGGAGAAUUGAGGGGGGCUGCUCCUAGUACGAGAGGACCGGAGUGGACGCAUCACUGGUGUUCGGGUUGUCAUGCCAAUGGCAUUGCCCGGUAGCUAAAUGCGGAAGAGAUAAGUGCUGAAAGCAUCUAAGCACGAAACUUGCCCCG